rnacentral:tRNA from 1 species
AUUAGGGUGGCAGAGCCAAGUUAUGCAAGAGGCCUAAGAUCUCGAUAUAGAGGUUCAAAUCCUCUCCCUAAUA